UUGAACGCUGGCGGCAGGCCUAACACAUGCAAGUCGAGCGGUAGCACAGAGAGCUUGCUCUCGGGUGACGAGCGGCGGACGGGUGAGUAAUGUCUGGGAAACUGCCUGAUGGAGGGGGAUAACUACUGGAAACGGUAGCUAAUACCGCAUAAUGUCGCAAGACCAAAGUGGGGGACCUUCGGGCCUCAUGCCAUCAGAUGUGCCCAGAUGGGAUUAGCUAGUAGGUGGGGUAACGGCUCACCUAGGCGACGAUCCCUAGCUGGUCUGAGAGGAUGACCAGCCACACUGGAACUGAGACACGGUCCAGACUCCUACGGGAGGCAGCAGUGGGGAAUAUUGCACAAUGGGCGCAAGCCUGAUGCAGCCAUGCCGCGUGUGUGAAGAAGGCCUUCGGGUUGUAAAGCACUUUCAGCGGGGAGGAAGGCGUUAAGGUUAAUAACCUUGGCGAUUGACGUUACCCGCAGAAGAAGCACCGGCUAACUCCGUGCCAGCAGCCGCGGUAAUACGGAGGGUGCAAGCGUUAAUCGGAAUUACUGGGCGUAAAGCGCACGCAGGCGGUCUGUCAAGUCGGAUGUGAAAUCCCCGGGCUCAACCUGGGAACUGCAUUCGAAACUGGCAGGCUAGAGUCUUGUAGAGGGGGGUAGAAUUCCAGGUGUAGCGGUGAAAUGCGUAGAGAUCUGGAGGAAUACCGGUGGCGAAGGCGGCCCCCUGGACAAAGACUGACGCUCAGGUGCGAAAGCGUGGGGAGCAAACAGGAUUAGAUACCCUGGUAGUCCACGCCGUAAACGAUGUCGAUUUGGAGGUUGUGCCCUUGAGGCGUGGCUUCCGGAGCUAACGCGUUAAAUCGACCGCCUGGGGAGUACGGCCGCAAGGUUAAAACUCAAAUGAAUUGACGGGGGCCCGCACAAGCGGUGGAGCAUGUGGUUUAAUUCGAUGCAACGCGAAGAACCUUACCUGGUCUUGACAUCCACAGAACUUUCCAGAGAUGGAUUGGUGCCUUCGGGAACUGUGAGACAGGUGCUGCAUGGCUGUCGUCAGCUCGUGUUGUGAAAUGUUGGGUUAAGUCCCGCAACGAGCGCAACCCUUAUCCUUUGUUGCCAGCGGUCCGGCCGGGAACUCAAAGGAGACUGCCAGUGAUAAACUGGAGGAAAGUGGGGAUGACGUCAAGUCAUCAUGGCCCUUACGACCAGGGCUACACACGUGCUACAAUGGCAUAUACAAAGAGAAGCGACCUCGCGAGAGCAAGCGGACCUCAUAAAGUAUGUCGUAGUCCGGAUUGGAGUCUGCAACUCGACUCCAUGAAGUCGGAAUCGCUAGUAAUCGUAGAUCAGAAUGCUACGGUGAAUACGUUCCCGGGCCUUGUACACACCGCCCGUCACACCAUGGGAGUGGGUUGCAAAAGAAGUAGGUAGCUUAACCUUCGGGAGGGCGCUUACCACUUUGUGAUUCAUGACUGGGGUG
rnacentral:rRNA from 1 species